CAUGGCGUCAGAACGAACGCUGGUGGCGUGUCUUAUACAUGCAAGUCGAGCGAGGCAGCAAUGCCGAGCGGCGAACGGGUGAGUAACGCGUAAGCAAUCUGCCCCAUAUCAGGAAAUACCCGUGCCAACGCGCGGUUAAUGUCCAGGAGAGUGGCCCUCCGCAUGGAGGGUUGACUAGAGAUUUAUCGGUAUGGGAUGAGCUUGCGUCCGAUUAGCUAGUUGGCGGGGCAACGGCCCACCAAGGCGACGAUCGGUAGCCGGCCUGAGAGGGUGAUCGGCCACAUUGGGACUGAGAUACGGCCCAGACUCCUACGGGAGGCAGCAGUAGGGAAUAUUGCACAAUGGGGGAAACCCUGAUGCAGCAACGCCACGUGUGGGAAGAAGCAUUUCGGUGUGUAAACCACUGUCAUGAGGGAAUAAGGCCCGCCUUCGGACGGGAUUGAAUGUACCUUGAAAGGAAGCACCGGCAAACUUCGUGCCAGCAGCCGC
rnacentral:rRNA from 1 species